UACGUAGGUGGCAAGCGUUGUCCGGAUUUAUUGGGUUUAAAGGGUGCGUAGGCGGUCUUUUAAGUCAGUGCUGAAAUACUCCAGCUUAACUGGAGGGGUGGCAUUGAUACUGGGAGACUUGAGUAUAGUCGAGGUAGGCGGAAUUGACGGUGUAGCGGUGAAAUGCUUAGAUAUCGUCAAGAACACCGAUAGUGAAGACAGCUUACUAGGCUAUAACUGACGCUGAGGCACGAAAGUGUGGGGAUCAAACAGGAUUAGAUACCCCCGUAGUCC
rnacentral:rRNA from 1 species